CCUACGGGAGGCAGCAGUGAGGAAUAUUGGUCAAUGGACGAGAGUCUGAACCAGCCAAGUAGCGUGAAGGAUGACUGUCCUAUGGGUUGUAAACUUCUUUUAUAUGGGAAUAAAAUGUUCCACGUGUGGGCUUUUGUAUGUACCUUAUGAAUAAGGAUCGGCUAACUCCGUGCCAGCAGCCGCGGUAAUACGGAGGAUCCGAGCGUUAUCCGGAUUUAUUGGGUUUAAAGGGAGCGUAGGUGGUUUGUUAAGUCAGUUGUGAAAGUUUGCGGCUCAACCGUAAAAUUGCAGUUGAAACUGGCAGUCUUGAGUGCAGUAGAGGUGGGCGGAAUUCGUGGUGUAGCGGUGAAAUGCUUAGAUAUCACGAAGAACUCCGAUUGCGAAGGCAGCUCACUGGACUGAAACUGACGCUGAGGCUCGAAAGUGUGGGUAUCAAACAGGAUUAGAUACCCGAGUAGUC
rnacentral:rRNA from 1 species